rnacentral:lncRNA from 1 species
GGGGAUUAAAUUAAUCCAAAAAAAAAAGAAAAAAAGAAUGAGGAGGAGGAGGGGGAGGAGGAGAGAAGAACAAGAAGAAGAAGGAGGAGGAAGAGGAGAAAAAAGAGAAGGAGGAAGAGGCAACAUGAGGAAUGGAUCUGUCAUUUUCUUGCCAAAAGUUUACUCUCCUUAGUGAUAUAACCAAGUCAAUGGUUCACCUUAAAAUGACCUUUUAAAAUGAUGUAACAAGGUAUGAACAAGAGCUACCCUUUCUGGGGUCAUCAAAGUUUGGAUAAGGGGGCAAACAACUGUUGUCCCUGAUUUAGAGUUUUCAAAUGUGUUUGAUGCCAUCCACACACAAACCCAACUGUGGGAAUAGUGAAAACGUCUAAAAUUGAUUGAAACUGGAGGAUCCAUCUCUCCUCAUUUUUUGAUGCACCAAUUCAGAACAACAAAGCACCCUUCCUGAAAAUGAUGAUGAAAGGCGGCGAGGCAGCCCAGUGGUCAACCAGACUGAGAGGCGCUCCUGAAAUGUAAAGCCAGAUGUCUGCAUCCACCCUGGGACUCUGUUCAACACAGUCAACAACAAACAGUUGCCUGAAGAUUUCUGUUUGUGGAGUGAUCUGCAAGCAUGUCUGAUCAAAAGGAGUCACCACCAAGUGGUGUAAAACCUUCCUCUUCUCAACCCAUUAGCACUUCCAGCUCUUCUGAUUCAAAAGAGAAUCUCAUAGAAAAUUUACUAGACAACUUGCUUCCUGAAAUCCUUGUGACAGAAGAAAAAGAAGAAUCUUCUACAGAAAUAAGUCGCAAAAGGCCAGAGUUGCUGAUUCAGGAUACCACCAAAACUCCACCUCCUUCCACAGCUCCUUCCCUAUCUUUAGACUCUUUUACUUUUUCUCCAGUUAAAAGUGAUGACAAACAACUGAAAGUCCCAGGACUAGCACCAUUUUUAUCAAGCAGCUCAGAGGAAGCACUGUUCAAAGAAGGAUUGGAGGAUAUCCGGAAAAUAACAUCAGGGUUAGGCUUACCUUUCCUUUUAGGCUAUUCUGACGACUCUUCCAGCUCAUCUGGUUUUAUCCCAAUUCCACUGUCUGUUCCUCCGAAGCAACUUGAAGGCAAACUAUUACUGGUCCACGCAUCUCGUUCAGUGCACCGUGCCACUCAGACCUCCUGGUUAGAAAAUGACUCUGAUUUAUCUUCCACGGAAAACAUUACAUCUUCCACCACGGUUGUUACAAAAAAAAACGACAGUGCUGUUCGGUCAUGGCCAUCACCUACCAGGACGUAUCAGACUGUGUUUAGGAGCAUCCUACAAGAAUUGCUAGAACGAGAAUUACAAGAAGCUGAUAUUGACGUGGCGCCCUCUGCUCGGCUAAAACAAGAUACCCGAAUGAGACUUGCCCACAUGUAAGUGGAUGGGUAUAUUUUGCAUUAUAAUUAAGGGGUCAGGCCAGAACAUAAGCCAAAGUGAAACACGAAUGGCCAGGGAAGGUUUAAAUGAAGUCUAGAGGGCCAGACACGCAGAUAUGCCGAGUCAAGCCCUAGAAGGUCAGUUGGUCUCUGCUCACCUGUAUGUAGUGAGGCCAGAAAAAGGUAGAUUGGAAAGGCACAGAAACACAUAUUACCCAGGACCAAAGAGAGAGCAGGAUCCAGAAAUCAGUCAGAAAAUGAGGUUUUGGAAGGGACAGACGAAAAAUUAGUAGGGAGGCAGCCUCAAAAGUAGGAAUCAAGUCCCUGCCAAAGAACAGGGCUAAAUCACAAGGUAAGGGUCCACGCAAGGACUCUAGGGUCAGAAAUCUAGGCAAAGAGUGACCUGCAAGGGAUCACAGCACAGGAAAGUGAUUGGCAAUGGCAAAGGCCAAAAAGGAGCUGGGGGAAAUGGGAAGGUGACAGGGAUCCAACCACCCACAGGUCAACCUGCUUUCAUAUAAACUUUAAAAAAUUUUUUCUGCGUUUUAAUUAAUUUAUUUAUUUUGAACAUUGUUUCUAAAUUUUUAGGAUCAAAUUCUCUCCUUCUACCAUGCCUACUGAGAAAGUAAGCAAAAUGAUAUAAAUUAUACAUAUGAAAUCAGGCAAAAAAGAUUUUUAUAUUGGCUAUAUUUCCCCAAAAAAGCAAGAAAAUAUAAAUGAGAAAAUUAUACUUCAAUUUUCACUCAGAGUUCAUCAGUUUUCUCUUUGGAAGUGGAUUGCAUUUUUUUCAUCAUGAAUCUUUUGGAAUUGUCUU